UCUGCACUUGGGUAAUAAAAAAAAGGAAAACACUUUAGUAUUUUAUUUGGUUUGCACUUGAGAUAGUUUUGCUUCCACUCUCCCGUUACUCGGUCGAUUUUUUGGUUUGUUUUGCGUUACGCGUUCGCGAUCAUACGUUUUUCGCGCUCAGCUGUUGUGUGUUUACGUUACUCGCUCUUGGCUCUCGUUGCUCUCUUCCCGUUCCCUAACUCUUUCAAAAACUCAAGUUUCUCUUAGCAAAGAGAGCGCGAGUGCAGAGCACGCGACAUUCGUUGUCAUAUUUUAGCCUCGACGUUGUUGUUUUUGGUAUUUUUGGUUCACUUUUGACAUUUUUGCAUACGAAAAUUUUCCGCUUUCAGGUAGAUUUACCGUACCGCGGAUCUUCUAACUUUUAAGUAAAAAAUUUUAAGCCGCACACUCGCACACAUACUCAGUAACACGUGCGUAAAUGUACGUAGGUAAGUGUUCUUGUGUAUUCCACAAUGAAACUACAUUUCUAUUUGGUUUUUUCCCAUACCAACGGCUAAAGGUAAGGUAAAACAGUCAAGGGCGCACACCUGCCCUUGGGAGCAAAGGAGAAAGAAGCUUACAGACGAAUGGCCAUUCAAACGGGAGCGACAAGAUAGGAAGAUGUCUGGGAAAACCCGAGAAUGCUACAUCCUAUUAUUACCUAAAUGUCCGCCGGAAAAUGGAUGCCCAUAAAUGAGGUUUAGCCAAGUAACUCAAACCCUUAUUUUGCCAAUGAUAAAAAAUAUCUUUGUCGCUACAUUUCAGCUGUAAUUCCGGCAAUGAGAAGACUAUCAAAUUCGGUAUGAAUUUUGGCUUUAUAUAAUUAGUGUAACUUGUUUGAUAGAUAAUACAAAUAAACGAAUUCGAUCCGUAACAAAAGUAAACGAUUUUGAUCGUUUGAAAACACGUUUUUCUACACAAAGAAUAUAAUAAAAACAUUUAUAAACUA